rnacentral:tRNA from 3 species
GCGGAUGUGGCGGAAUUGGCAGACGCGCUAGAUUCAGGUUCUAGUGCCCGUUAAGGGCGUGGAGGUUCAAGUCCUCUCAUCCGCA